rnacentral:rRNA from 1 species
UACAGAGGGGGCAAGCGUUGUUCGGAAUUACUGGGCGUAAAGGGCGCGUAGGCGGCCGGCUAAGUCGGACGUGAAAUCCCCGGGCUCAACCCGGGAACUGCGUCCGAUACUGGCAGGCUUGAAUCCGGGAGAGGGAUGCGGAAUUCCAGGUGUAGCGGUGAAAUGCGUAGAUAUCUGGAGGAAUACCGGUGGCGAAGGCGGCAUCCUGGACCGACAUUGACGCUGAGGAGCGAAAGCGAGGGGAGCAAACGGG